UGUUGCCGCCACUCUGUAUUAUCUGCUGCCUCAAAGCUGCACUGCUCUGUGCUGUCCAUUGCCUCAAAGUCAGCUGUCCUCUUUCCAUUAGUCUGAAGCAGUCGCAGCUCAGCUUAGCUUUUAGAGAGAAAUCUGUAAUAUCUAGGGCACCUGACAGAGUGUUCACCACUCAAAGAUCGGAGAGGUAGGAGCCUUUUUCACCAUAUUCUUUUCCUCUUCUCAGCUGUGUCCAAGCUCCGUUGCCCAACUGUGCCUGACAGAAGUCAUGGUCAGGGUGACCCCAGGCAUAUUUGAUGCCUUGUACUUGCAUUUUCCAACAAGGGAUUUGGCAUGCACUACAGAACAUUUGGACACCAUUCUACACAGACUGAGGUCGUGCCACACAAUGGACACUAAUGAUUGAAUUCACCUGGAGAUGCCUCAGUUCUCUUUGCCAGGGCUGUAUUUGCAAAACGUAACUAUUAGUAAGUCAAUAAAUACU